rnacentral:rRNA from 1 species
AAUAUUGGGCAAUGGACGCAAGUCUGACCCAGCAACGCCGCGCGAAGGAAGAAGGCUUUCGGGUUGUAAACUUCUUUUAAGGGGGAAGAGCAGAAGACGGUACCCCUUGAAUAAGCCACGGCUAACUACGUGCCAGCAGCCGCGGUAAUACGUAGGUGGCAAGCGUUGUCCGGAUUUACUGGGUGUAAAGGGCGUGUAGCCGGGAAGGCAAGUCAGAUGUGAAAUCUGGAGGCUCAACCUCCAAACUGCAUUUGAAACUGCUUUUCUUGAGUGUCGGAGAGGUAAUCGGAAUUCCUUGUGUAGCGGUGAAAUGCGUAGAUAUAAGGAAGAACACCAGUGGCGAAGGCGGAUUACUGGACGAUAACUGACGGUGAGGCGCGAAAGCGUGGGGAGCAAACAGG